GCUCCCAUGGCGUAGUGGUCACUGCGCUCGCCUUGCACGCGGGAGACCCGGAUUCGAUUCCCGGCGAGGUCA
rnacentral:tRNA from 1 species